GUGUCCGCUUUGGCAACACUUAUACUAAAAUUGGAAUAAUACAGAGAAGAUUAGCUUGGCCCCUGUGCAAGGAUGACACGCAAAUUCGUGAAGCGUUCCAUGUUAAA